UUUAAAUGUAAAUUAUUAUACUAAAGUAGUAAUAGUUAAGUUCUUUAAAUUUAAAGAUUUUGGCGGUAUUUUAGUCUAUUCAGAGGAACCUGUUCUGUAAUUGAUAGUCCACGAUUAAUUUUACUUAAUUUGAUAAUUUGUAUAUCGUCGUUUAUAAAUGAUUUUAAAAGAAUUAGAAUUUUUAAGAUUUUUUAUUAAAAAAUAUAUCAGAUCAAGGUGCAGUUUAUAGUUAAGAAGAAAUGGGUUACAAUAAAUUUAUUUAUAUGGAUUAAUAUGUAAAAUUGUAUUAUGAAGGAGGAUUUGAUAGUAAUAAAAUUAAAUUAAAUUUUAUGAUUUUAGCUCUAAAAUAUGU
rnacentral:rRNA from 1 species